rnacentral:rRNA from 1 species
AGAGUUUGAUCCUGGCUCAGAACGGACGUUGGCGGCAGGCCUAACACAUGCAAGUCGAACGAGAAGCUUCCUGCUUGCAGGAAGUGGACAGUGGCGGACGGGUGCGUAACACGUGGGAACCUACCCUUUAGUAUGGAAUAGCCCUUGGAAACGAGGAUUAAUACCAUAUAUACCCUUGAUCAUGGUGAUCGUAGGGGAAAGAUUCAUCGCUAAAGGAUGGGCCCGCGCUAGAUUAGCUAGUUGGUAAGGUAAUGGCUUACCAAGGCAAUGAUCUAUAGCUGGUCUGAGAGGAUGAUCAGCCACACUGGAACUGAGACACGGUCAGACUCCUACGGGAGGCAGCAGUGGGGAAUAUUGGACAAUGGGCGCAAGCCUGAUCCAGCCAUGCCGCGUGAGUGAAGAAGGCCUUAGGGUUGUAAAGCUCUUUCGCCGGUGAAGAUAAUGACUGUAACCGGUAAAGAAGCCCCGGCUAACUCCGUGCCAGCAGCCGCGGUAAUACGGAGGGGGCUAGUGUUGUUCGGAAUUACUGGGCGUAAAGCGAGCGUAGGCGGUCUGUUAAGUUAGAGGUGAAAUCCCAGGGCUCAACCCUGGAACUGCCUUUGAUACUGGCAGACCAGAGUUCGGGAGAGGAUAGUGGAAUUCCUAGUGUAGAGGUGAAAUUCGUAGAUAUUAGGAGGAACACCAGUGGCGAAGGCGACUAUCUGGACCGAUACUGACGCUAAGGCUCGAAAGCGUGGGGAGCGAACGGGAUUAGAUACCCCGGUAGUCCACGCCGUAAACGAUGAGUGCUAGACGUUGGGAAACUUAGUUUCUCAGUGUCGCAGCUAACGCAUUAAGCACUCCGCCUGGGGAGUACGGCCGCAAGGUUAAAACUCAAAGGAAUUGACGGGGGCCCGCACAAGCGGUGGAGGAUGUGGUUUAAUUCGACGCUACGCGAAGAACCUUACCUACCCUUGAAUCCUGAUCGCGGAUCGCAGAGAUGCUUUCCUUCAGUUCGGCUGGAUCAGUGACAGGUGCUGCAUGGCUGUCGCCAGCUCGUGUCGUGAGAUGUUGGGUUAAGUCCCGCAACGAGCGCAACCCUCAUCCUUAGUUGCCAGCAGGUUUGGCUGGGCACUCUAAGGAAACUGCCGGUGAUAAGCCGGAGGAAGGUGGGGAUGACGUCAAGUCCUCAUGGCCCUUAUGGGUAGGGCUACACACGUCCUACAAUGGCAAGUACAACGGGAUGCAAAACCGCGAGGUGGAGCUAAUCCCAAAAACUUGUCUCAGUUCGGAUUGUACUCUGCAACUCGAGUACAUGAAGUUGGAAUCGCUAGUAAUCGCGUAUCAGCAUGACGCGGUGAAUACGUUCCCGGGCCUUGUACACACCGCCCGUCACACCAUGGGAGUUGUUUCUGCCCGAAGACGGUUUGCUAACUUCGGAGGCAGCCGGCCACGGUAGGGGCAGCGACUGGGGUGAAGUCGGAACAAGGUA